rnacentral:rRNA from 1 species
UACACUUUAAAUCCUUUAACGAGGAUCAAUUGGAGGGCAAGUCUGGUGCCAGCAGCCGCGGUAAUUCCAGCUCCAAUAGCGUAUAUUAAAGUUGUUGCAGUUAAAAAGCUCGUAGUUGGAUCUCAGGAUUUGGAUGGAUGGUUCGCUUUCGGGCGCUACUAUCUGUCUGACCUACUCUAGUCGUGGAUGCCUUGGGUGCUCUUAAUUGAGUGCUUUUGGUGCCCGACGCAAUUACUUUGAAAAAAUUAGAGUGCUCAAAGCAGGCGUAUUGCCUGAAUAGUGUUGCAUGGAAUAAUGAAAUAGGAGUUUACUUCUAUUUUGUUGGUUUUCGGAGGUGAACUAAUGAUUAACAGGGACAGACGGGGGCAUUUGUAUGGAGGGGUUAGAGGUGAAAUUCUUGGAUCCUCUCCAGACAAACUACUGCGAAAGCAUUUGCCAGGAUUGUUUUCACUAAUCAAGAACGAAAGUCAGAGGUUCGAAGACGAUCAGAUACCGUCCUAGUUCUGACCAUAAAUGAUGCCAUCUAACAAUCCACGAAGUUUGCUUGUACGAACUCGUGGGCGGUCCCCGGGAAACCAAAGAUUUUGGGUUCCGGGGGAAGUAUGGUUGCAAAGCUGAAACUUAAAGGAAUUGACGGAAGGGCACCACCAGGAGUGGAGCCUGCGGCUUAAUUUGACACAACACGGGAAACCUCACCCGGCCCGGACACUUUUAGGAUUGACAGAUUGAAGGCUCUUUCUUGAUCAAGUGGUUGGUGGUGCAUGGCCGUUCUUAGUUGGUGGAGCGAUUUGUCUGGUUAAUUCCGAUAACGAACGAGACUCUACUCUGCUAAAUAGAACGUUGAUAUAUAAAAGUCAGUGCUGACUUCUUAGAGAGACUAACGGCGUUUAGCCGUGUGAGAAAGAGCAAUAACAGGUCUGUGAUGCCCUUAGAUGUCCGGGGCCGCACGCGCGCUACACUGACUGCAGCAACUAGUAUGCUCCUGGUUUGAAAAAACUGGGUAACCUGGUUGAAUUGCAGGCGUGACAGGGAUCAGAGUUUGCAAUUAUCCUCUGUGAACGAGGAAUUCCCAGUAAGCGCAAGUCAUUAGCUUGUGCUGAUUACGUCCCUGCCCUUUGUACACACCGCCCGUCGCUACUACCGAUUGAAUGGUUUAGUGAGGUCUUCGGAUUGGUGCUGAUGGAGUGGUUCUCUGCUCUGUUAGUGCCGAGAAGAUGAUCAAACUUGAUCAUUUAGAGGAAGUAAAAGUCGUAACAAGGU